ACCAGAAUUCGUCUAAUGUUUACUUUGUUUAUUUGGUAGGUCAAAAAAAACCAAGGGCCCUUGUAGGCUACAAAAGACUUCUCAGACCACUCGUGCCACGACUGAGAAGAUCAUCAUUACAUGGGAUCCUCGACAUUGUGCGACUGCAACAAAGGAGCAGCACAUUGCGUUGGGCACCGACUUUGGCUCGAUUAUCAGGAACCAUUGCCCCCUUAUAUGGAAGUCAUGGAGACCUGUCCCAUAAGGAGUCAAGGAAGUAGUUCUUCAUGAAUUAUCGGGGGGGUCAAAGUUUCCAGAAAUUGACAUGUUCAAGGAGAUGUAUGUUCGGCCCAGGGAUGAGCUGACGGAGCAGCUUCAUUCCACCAUGGUGGAGAAGGGCCAGACUGUUCUGGAGGAGAUUGUGUCCUAAUUCCCGUAGAGACCCCGAUCGAGGAGGUGUUUCCCCUUGAGGACGCUGGUUUUCAAAUCAUGACAGACACACUCAAUCGGACCCUUAAUCGUCGACCUAGGAAUGUUCACCGGGGGCUUGGGAAAACCCGCCUUCGAGACCUGUCUGCCUCAUCUUCCAAGCAGAGAACUGUCAAAAUGUUAACAUCUGAAGUGGCAAACCUAAAGCAGUGGAUUACCGCCCAGCAGUCUCAGAUUGCAGCCCAAAACAAUUUGAUGAACCAGAUUUGUCAGGCACUUCAAAUCUCUAGCAUUCACUUCCCCGACAUUGAACCACCUCUAAAACGACCUUUCAGCCGCCCACCACACCAAUUACAACCUCCCAGCCCCCCAACGCAGCAACAACACCACCAGCAGGCAAGUGUGAUGUGAGUUAUUGCCAGCAACAACAUUUUGUGUGUUGAUAAAUAUAUUUUUUAUAU